CCGGGAGGAAUUAUCCCGGUUUUCCUGGAGCAUCCCGAGGCUUUCCAGGCUCACCGGGAGGAAUUAUCCCGGUUUUCCUGGAGCAUCCUGAGGCUUCCCAGGCUCACCGGGAGGAAUUAUCCCGGUUUCUAUGGGCACCGGGAGGAGUUAUCCCGGUUUUCCGGCUCACCGGGAGGAGUUACCCCGGUUUUCCCGGAGGAUCUCAAGGCUUUCCGUGCUUGCAGUUGGGAAUUAUCCCGGUUUUCCUGGAGCAUCCCGAGGCUUUCCAGGCUCACCGGGAGGAAUUAUCCCGGUUUCCAGGCUCUCCAGAGGGAAUUAUCCCGGUUUUCAGGCUCACCGGGAGGAGUUAUCCCGGUUUUCCGGCUCACCGGGAGGAGUUAUCCCGGUUUCCAGGCUCUCCAGAGGGAGUUAUCCCGGUUUUUCUGGAGCAUCCCGGUUUUUCCGGAGAAUUCCCGCAGCUCCCCGUGCUCCCGGCUGGGAAUUCUCCCGGUUUUUUCUGGAAAACUCCCAGAAUUUUCCAUGCCGGAUCAUCCCCAUGGCCACGGCUGGGAUUUAUCCCAAAUUUUUUCUUCCCGCUCCGCCUGGAGCAUCCCGCUUUCCCGCGGGAAUUAUCCCGGUUUAUCGGAGCAUCCCAAAUUUAUCCCAAAAAAAACCGCCGCGCUCCAGCCUUUGGAUCCUCCGGGAGCCACAUCCCGGCUCCCGGAAUUCCCGGAAUUCCCGGAAAAUUCCUGGGAUUUCGGGGACCAGCCCCGACUCAGCCGUGCCUCAACCCCGCUCCCUCCGCCUGGAGAAUCCCAAAAAAAAAAAUCCCCAAAAAAAAAAUCCCCCCCCAAAAAAAUCCCAAAAUAUUUUCAGAUCCCGGAGAAUCCUUUCCCGCUUCCCCCUGGAAUUUUUUUUUCCAGCCGGGAAUGGAGGCGGAAUUCCCGGGAAUGCCGUGCAUGGGCAGCGUUUCUUGCACUAAAUCCCAAAAAUUCCCCAAACCCCCGCCGCCGGUGCCGCUUCUCCCAAAUCCCAAAAAAAAAAAUAAUAAUUCCCAAAUCCCAGCGGGAAAUUCCCGCCUCCAGCUCCGAAUUCCUUGGAAUUCCUUGGAAUUCUGUCGCAAUAAGG
rnacentral:lncRNA from 1 species